rnacentral:rRNA from 1 species
GGACUACCAGGGUUUCUAAUCCUGUUUGCUCCCCUAGCUUUCGCGCCUCAGCGUCUGUUUCAGCCCAGAAAACCGUCUUCACCACCGGUGUUCUUCCACAUAUCUACGCAUUUCACCGCUACACGUGGAAUUCCGUUUUCCCUAACUGAACUCUAGCCAAAUAGUUUCAAAUGCCGCUUCGGGGUUGAGCCCCGAAAUUUCACAUCUGACUGGUUUGGCCGCCUACGCGCCCUUUACGCCCAGUAAUUCCGAUCAAUGCUUGCACCCUCCGUAUUACCGCGGCUGCUGGCAC